CCUGCCCCUAAGGCUUUAUGGAUGUGACUACUAUGUCACAUGUUCAUCAGUAAGUGGCAGAGGAGAGAGGAUAUGUCCAUGUUCAGUGUUCUGACCUGUGACCACAGAAUGAUUAGUAGCCCAAUGCU
ensembl:snoRNA LOC120093462 small nucleolar RNA SNORA17